rnacentral:rRNA from 1 species
UUAACCGAAUAGGGGAGCCGGAGGGAAACCGAGUCUUAAUUGGGCGUUAAGUUGCAGGGUAUAGACCCGAAACCCGGUGAUCUAGCCAUGGGCAGGUUGAAGGUUGGGUAACACUAACUGGAGGACCGAACCGACUAAUGUUGAAAAAUUAGCGGAUGACCUGUGGCUGGGGGUGAAAGGCCAAUCAAACCGGGAGAUAGCUGGUUCUCCCCGAAAGCUAUUUAGGUAGCGCCUCGUGAAUUCAUCUCCGGGGGUAGAGCACUGUUUCGGCUAGGGGGCCAUCCCGGCUUACCAACCCGAUGCAAACUGCGAAUACCGGAGAAUGUUAUCACGGGAGACACACGGCGGGUGCUAACGUCCGUCGUGAAGAGGGAAACAACCCAGACCGCCAGCUAAGGUCCCAAAGUCAUGGUUAAGUGGGAAACGAUGUGGGAAGGCCCAGACAGCCAGGAUGUUGGCUUAGAAGCAGCCAUCAUUUAAAGAAAGCGUAAUAGCUCACUGGUCGAGUCGGCCUGCGCGGAAGAUGUAACGGGGCUAAACCAUGCACCGAAGCUGCGGCAGCGACACUGUGUGUUGUUGGGUAGGGGAGCGUUCUGUAAGCCUGUGAAGGUGUGUCGUGAGGCAUGCUGGAGGUAUCAGAAGUGCGAAUGCUGACAUAAGUAACGAUAAAGCGGGUGAAAAGCCCGCUCGCCGGAAGACCAAGGGUUCCUGUCCAACGUUAAUCGGGGCAGGGUGAGUCGACCCCUAAGGCGAGGCCGAAAGGCGUAGUCGAUGGGAAACGGGUUAAUAUUCCCGUACUUGGUGUUACUGCGAAGGGGGGACGGAGAAGGCUAUGUUGGCCGGGCGACGGUUGUCCCGGUUUAAGCGUGUAGGUGUGUGUUCCAGGUAAAUCCGGUUCACUUUAACACUGAGGCGUGACGACGAGGCACUACGGUGCUGAAGCAACAAAUGCCCUGCUUCCAGGAAAAGCCUCUAAGCAUCAGGUAACAUCAAAUCGUACCCCAAACCGACACAGGUGGUCAGGUAGAGAAUACCAAGGCGCUUGAGAGAACUCGGGUGAAGGAACUAGGCAAAAUGGUGCCGUAACUUCGGGAGAAGGCACGCUGACACGUAGGUGAAGUGAUUUACUCAUGGAGCUGAAGUCAGUCGAAGAUACCAGCUGGCUGCAACUGUUUAUUAAAAACACAGCACUGUGCAAACACGAAAGUGGACGUAUACGGUGUGACGCCUGCCCGGUGCCGGAAGGUUAAUUGAUGGGGUCAGCGCAAGCGAAGCUCCUGAUCGAAGCCCCGGUAAACGGCGGCCGUAACUAUAACGGUCCUAAGGUAGCGAAAUUCCUUGUCGGGUAAGUUCCGACCUGCACGAAUGGCGUAAUGAUGGCCAGGCUGUCUCCACCCGAGACUCAGUGAAAUUGAACUCGCUGUGAAGAUGCAGUGUACCCGCGGCAAGACGGAAAGACCCCGUGAACCUUUACUAUAGCUUGACACUGAACAUUGAGCCUUGAUGUGUAGGAUAGGUGGGAGGCUUUGAAGUGUGGACGCCAGUCUGCAUGGAGCCGACCUUGAAAUACCACCCUUUAAUGUUUGAUGUUCUAACGUGGACCCGUUACCCGGGUUGCGGACAGUGUCUGGUGGGUAGUUUGACUGGGGCGGUCUCCUCCUAAAGAGUAACGGAGGAGCACGAAGGUUGGCUAAUCCUGGUCGGACAUCAGGAGGUUAGUGCAAUGGCAUAAGCCAGCUUGACUGCGAGCGUGACGGCGCGAGCAGGUGCGAAAGCAGGUCAUAGUGAUCCGGUGGUUCUGAAUGGAAGGGCCAUCGCUCAACGGAUAAAAGGUACUCCGGGGAUAACAGGCUGAUACCGCCCAAGAGUUCAUAUCGACGGCGGUGUUUGGCACCUCGAUGUCGGCUCAUCACAUCCUGGGGCUGAAGUAGGUCCCAAGGGUAUGGCUGUUCGCCAUUUAAAGUGGUACGCGAGCUGGGUUUAGAACGUCGUGAGACAGUUCGGUCCCUAUCUGCCGUGGGCGCUGGAGAACUGAGGGGGGCUGCUCCUAGUACGAGAGGACCGGAGUGGACGCAUCACUGGUGUUCGGGUUGUCAUGCCAAUGGCACUGCCCGGUAGCUAAAUGCGGAAGAGAUAAGUGCUGAAAGCAUCUAAGCACGAAACUUGCCCCGA